rnacentral:lncRNA from 1 species
CAUGUGUAUGCCUUGCGAGCAACUUCCCCCACCUGUGCAAAAAGGUUUGCAUGCACGCGGACAUGUACAUCUCCUCACCCUAGUCGACCACUGUUCAGUAUGGUUGCGUUUUUCACGUUCACUGUAGCCAAGGGAUACAUGGAGGUUUCAGGCCGUGCACGAUUGGCCACUAAGCCGAUCAACGGUCGGACUUCCAUGCAUGUGAUCUAAUGGAUCAUGUUUCUCCUUCUUUCUUAUAUUUAAACCCUCUCCUUUCUAUUUCCUUCCAUUUUUCUUUUACUUCCCGAAAAGAAAAGAAAAAAACUUGAGAGAGAGAAAGAGAGCGAGUGAGAGCUAAGAGCGUGCAAAGAAGAAAACGAACUACUGUCAUCCUUUUCACCGCAGCUAGCUCAUCGUCAAGUUUUUUUUCCUUCUUUCCGAAAGGUAAGCUCUUCACUUACCUCAUCCUUUCUUGAUUCAGACGUGAACACUCAACUCAUCACCAUUUUAAUUUUUCUUCUUCUCGGUUACUGUAAAAAAGUUCUCUAAGUUUGAUCACCGCACAAGCAUUUCUUCUUUGAAACCCGCAACCAUUUUGCCCUUUUUUGAAAACUAAAACUUGUUUAGCUAUCGAUAAGGAUUUUAGUAAUAUCUUUGUACUCCUAAUAGGUUUUCUAGUUGUUUUAAAAUUGUUAAAUCCACA